rnacentral:rRNA from 1 species
CCUACGGGGGGCAGCAGUAGGGAAUCUUUCACAAUGGGCGAAAGCCUGAUGGAGCAACGCCGCGUGCAGGAUGAAGGCCUUCUGGUUGUAAACUGCUUUUAUAAGCGAGAAAUAUGAUGGUAACUUAUGAACAAGGAUCGGCUAACUACGUGCCAGCAGCCGCGGUCAUACGUAGGAUCCGAGCAUUAUCCGGAGUGACUCGGUGUAAAGAGUUGCGUAGGUGGCAUAAUAAGUAGCUAGUGAAAUCUGGUGGCUCAACCAUUCAGACUAUUAGCUAAACUGUUAAGCUCGAGACCGUUAGGGGUAACUGGAAUUUGUAGUGUAGGAGUGAAAUCCGUAGAUAUUACACAGAACACCGAUAGCGUAGGCAGGUUACUGGGACGGUUCUGACACUAAGGCACGAAAGCGUAGGGAGCAAACGGGAUUAGAUACCAUGGUAGUC